AACGAACGCUGGCGGCAGGCUUAACACAUGCAAGUCGAGCGCCCCGCAAGGGGAGCGGCAGACGGGUGAGUAACGCGUGGGAACGUACCUUUUGGUUCGGAACAACUCCGGGAAACUGGAGCUAAUACCGGAUAAGCCCUAACGGGGAAAGAUUUAUCGCCGAAAGAUCGGCCCGCGUCUGAUUAGCUAGUUGGUGAGGUAACGGCUCACCAAGGCGACGAUCAGUAGCUGGUCUGAGAGUAUGAUCAGCCACACUGGGACUGAGACACGGCCCAGACUCCUACGGGAGGCAGCAGUGGGGAAUAUUGGACAAUGGGCGCAAGCCUGAUCCAGCCAUGCCGCGUGAGUGAUGAAGGCCUUAGGGUUGUAAAGCUCUUUUGUCCGGGAAGAUAAUGACUGUACCGGAAGAAUAAGCCCCGGCUAACUUCGUG
rnacentral:rRNA from 1 species